UACAGAGGGUGCGAGCGUUAAUCGGAAUUACUGGGCGUAAAGCGUGCGUAGACGGUUUCGUAAGUCGGGUGUGAAAUCCCCGGGCUCAACCUGGGAAUUGCAUUCGAAACUGCGAGGCUAGGGUACGGAAGAGGGAAGCGGAAUUUCUGGUGUAGCGGUGAAAUGCGUAGAUAUCAAGAGGAACACCUGCGGCGAAGGCGGGUUGCUGGGCUGACACUGACGCUGAAGCGCGAAAGCCAGGGGAGCGAACGGG
rnacentral:rRNA from 1 species